rnacentral:rRNA from 1 species
GCAAGUCGAAUGUCUUUAUGACAUGGCAAACGGGUGCGUAACACGUGCUUAACCUGCCCUUUGGUGGGGGAUACCUGUGGAAACACAACUAAUCCCCCAUAAGUUCUUCAAAAUGAAAAUAUGAAGAAGAAAGGUUUACCGCCAAAGGAGGGGAGCGCGGCCUAUUAGUUAGUUGGUAAGGUAAUGGCUUACCAAGACAAUGAUGGGUAGCUGGUCUGAGAGGAUGAUC